AUUGAACGCUGGCGGCAUGCCUUACACAUGCAAGUCGAACGGCAGCACGGGAGCAAUCCUGGUGGCGAGUGGCGAACGGGUGAGUAAUAUAUCGGAACGUGCCCAGUAGUGGGGGGUAGCCCGGCGAAAGCCGGAUUAAUACCGCAUGAGACCUGAGGGUGAAAGCGGGGGAUCGCAAGACCUCGCGCUAUUGGAGCGGCCGAUAUCAGAUUAGCUAGUUGGUGGGGUAAAGGCCUACCAAGGCAACGAUCUGUAGUUGGUCUGAGAGGACGACCAGCCACACUGGGACUGAGACACAGCCCAGACUCCUACGGGAGGCAGCAGUGGGGAAUUUUGGACAAUGGGCGCAAGCCUGAUCCAGCAAUGCCGCGUGCAGGAAGAAGGCCUUCGGGUUGUAAACUGCUUUUGUCAGGGAAGAAAUCCCUUGGGAUUAUACCUCGGGGGGAUGACGGUACCUGAAGAAUAAGCACCGGCUAACUACGUGCCAGCCGCCGCCGUAAUAC
rnacentral:rRNA from 1 species